CUGCAAGGAGUCAGACAGCUGCAGCUUUCACCUGAGCAAGCUGCUGUGCUGAGCAUGACACGAAGUCAGGUUGCAGUAUUUUGCCCUAGCAAGAUUUCAAGUUCUCCUGAUGGUUCUGCAAGAGGAGAGUUCUCUGCUGAACCACGUAUGCACUGUCUUGUUUUGCUGCUGAGGAAGAAUAAUGCUUGUCAUCACAUUCCUGCUCUUGUGAAAGGACUGAUAGAUGAACUGUCAAAGCAAGGUCAUGUGCAGAGCAGCCAGGCUCCCACUGCCCAACCCAACCCCUCUAUGUGGUUUCAUGUGGCUCCUUACACUGAGAACUUGCUGCAGGCAUUGGGAGGAAGCCUCAGUGCAGUGCCAGAGCCCCAUUACAUUCCCCUGGAUUUUUUGUGCAAUCGAACAUAUGCUUCUGAUCCUGAAAUGGAGCAAGUUGUCAUGCUGGCAGUGGUUGGAACAGAUGCUAUGAAGAGUGCUGGAGAGCUCCUUCAUCAGAUCCUUCUUCCUGGCCCCAGUAGUUGGUCUCAGAGGCCAGAAGAACCCGGUUUGGGAUUUGAGCUCCUUGGUCUCAAAUGGUUGUCCCAUCUCACUCAAUGUCAGGCCAAAGAAGUAACCCCUUUUGAAGUUGGAGAUACUUACUGGCAAAGCAGCCUUGGUACACUAAUGUCAAACCCAGUCCUUGUAUGUGCGUUACGGCGAAUCAAUGCUUUCAGAGUUCUUGCAGAUGCAUUGGAGAGAUUAACACAAUGGAGGGAGAAGCUGAGCAAAAGUGGCGGUCUUCUCCAAGUAGUAAUGGCCCUGACCCCAGAGGUGACAUUCAGGCAAGCCAUCCUGUUCUUCACAGAGACAGAGUUUGUAUCUGAUGCAGAACACAGCCCUGCUAUGAAAUACCUGCCACCACCUGGCAAGAGGGCCAGGGCUGAAGUGGGAGAGAGGCAGAGAUGCCACACAGAAUCUCUGUUCACCUACUUGCAAACAGGAGCCCAGAUUCUUUGCACAGUGCUGCUGAUCAAACCUGGUGCCUGGAGCCGCAGUUUUGCAAGGAUCCUCCGAAAACUAGACCUGGAAGAAUUCACUGUGGUUGGCAUGAAACACAUAAACCUGGAACCAGACAUUGCCUUAAGACUCCUUUCUUCUGAAGUGAAACAGGUCAUUCCAGGUAAAAGCACAUCUGAGGAGCAACCACCUCCCCUGCAGUUGGGCCAGGCUUUCCUUCCAUGUGUUUAAACCUGGGAAACAUCUGCUGCACUGCCAGAGAAUCUGUACCUCUGGAGCCCCGUUCCCUUAGAUUAUAUGUAUUACACAUCUUAAACAUGCAGCUGAAUCUGUCUUCCAGGAGUGUGUGUAGAAGAGCCUGUAAAAAGGACCUGCAAAGAGAGAAAAUCAAGUUACUGUCAUUUCUAGUGUCUAAUAGACAAUAAAGAAGGUUCUUAAAUCUUAGGGCA
rnacentral:lncRNA from 14 species